UGAGGAAUAUUGGUCAAUGGGCGCAAGCCUGAACCAGCCAUCCCGCGUGCAGGAAGACGGCGCUAUGCGUUGUAAACUGCUUUUCCAGGGAGAGAAACUUGCGCACGUGUUGCGCAAUUGACGGUACCCUGGGAAUAAGCAUCGGCUAACUCCGUGCCAGCAGCCGCGGUAAUACGGAGGAUGCGAGCGUUAUCCGGAUUCAUUGUGUUUAAAGGGUGCGUAGGCGGACUAUUAAGUCAGUGGUGAAAUCCUUCAGCUUAACUGCAGAACUGCCAUUGAUACUGAUAGCCUUGAGUUUGGUUAAGGUAGGCGGAAUGUGUAAUGUAGCGGUGAAAUGCUUAGAUAUUACACAGAACACCAAUUGCGUAGGCAGCUUACUGAGCCAACACUGACGCUGAGGCACGAAAGCGUGGGGAU
rnacentral:rRNA from 1 species